GCGAACAAGCCAGCUAUUACACAAUCAAGCCGAUCAGAGCAGCAAGGCAGCUUGCUGGCUUGGGCAAAUCAGUUCGUGCCGUAUCAGUCCCCAAGUGCAGUCGUGUGAUCGCGUCGCUCCGGCAGAAAUUAACCGCAGUUAGAGUGAAAAUUAACAGAUUUCGGACCGCUAAUUACUCGGCUGGAAGACGCGGGUCUACCAUCUGCACCGGUCGAGCUUAAGGGCUUGGCGGAUUGCGUGGGCAAGCUAAUAGCAGGCAGGGACGCCAGCGCUCACACACACACGCGCUGGGUGUGGGAAGCCGCGUGGCGAGAAAAGCGGUAGCGAACUAGAUCUUUGGAGGCCAAUCCGGGCCGGAAUCGACGCUCAAGCCGCGUGAGUCAGCACUCUCGAAUUGAAAGCCGAAACUGUCGCUCUUACCGAGGCAAAAUCAUCCGCGCAGAAGGAUAAUCAAGAAAACAGACGUCGUUCGUCGACACCGCGACUUUUCCGCUACGGAGAGCGAACUGCCAGUCCACCUGGAGGUGAUCGGAGCUAGAAUCCGGCGAGAAAGAAAGGAGCCCCUUAAUAGGGUAAGAUGCCGUAAAACGAUCUGCAAGAACGCGACAGUGACGACCCAAUGUCCGCAGGGCUUCUUUUUUAUAAUUGCAGUUCAGCUUGAGGCAACGUUCGCGGGCUAGGAGUUGAGGCCACGGAAUCGCGCUCUUCCGUACAACACGCGUGCGCGGCGACAGAUCACGCUGGCCAUCGUCCGUCGGUGCGCGUCUCGACGUGGGUCACGGCAGAGAAGAGCGGAGACAAGAUCCGUGACAUUCGGUCUGGUUUUGAGGAACCGAUCCAGUGGGAGGAGUUGGAACGAUCAGCGGGACUGAACCCCAUGCGGGCCGGACCAGCAUGCAGCCAACGACAAGGGGCGCCCCGAGCGACCGAUGGACAUCCGGUCAGCAUGGUCCCAUGGUUCACACCGAGCGCUGGCAUUGAUGGUAACCGUGAGUUUUGACAAAUGUACCUUAGAUCUUAAGUGAGCAAACUUUAGGAGCUAGGAAGAUAGACUAGGCAAGAAGAUGAUCAAUAUAGCAAUGUUAAAAGCUUGAUAUUUGAGUUUAGAUUUUCGUGGUGCUUUAGCCCUCAGUGUUUGUGGUCCGAAUUCCAUUUCGCUUACGGUAGCUUUGCUCUACCGGGUCGGGAACUUG